CUUUUUAUUAAAAAAUUAUCCUGAUAAUAACAAUAAAUCUGGUAAGGCACUUUCAAAAAAUAGCCAAAUCACACAUUAUUAAGAAAACCACUACAAUCAAAAUCGGUAACUAUCAGCUUUCAGGGGGGUCUCAGGUUAUCAUGACGAUCGGGGUAAAGGAUGAACUACUAUUGCGGUCUGAAUUGAGGGAGUUUUGAUAACCGUUCGAAUACUAAUAAUAAAUAUCCUCCGGCAUAGCCGGAGGUUUUUCAGAUG
rnacentral:sRNA from 1 species